rnacentral:rRNA from 1 species
GAUGAACGCUCGCGGGAGGCUUAACACAUGCAAGCCGAGGGGUAUAGUUCUUUCGGGAACUAGAGACCGGCGCACGGGUGCGUAACGCGUAUGCAACUUGCCCUACUGAAAAGGAUAGCCCUUCGAAAGGAGGAUUAAUACUUUAUAACAGAUUUAAUGGCAUCAUUAGAUUUUGAAAGAUUUAUCGCAGUAGGAUAGGCAUGCGUAAGAUUAGUUAGUUGGUGAGGUAACGGCUCACCAAGACGAUGAUCUUUAGGGGGCCUGAGAGGGUGAACCCCCACACUGGUACUGAGACACGGACCAGACUCCUACGGGAGGCAGCAGUGAGGAAUAUUGGACAAUGGGUGGAAGCCUGAUCCAGCCAUCCCGCGUGUAGGAUGACGGCCUUAUGGGUUGUAAACUACUUUUAUCUGGGGAUAAACCUACUUACGUGUAAGUAGCUGAAGGUACCAGAAGAAUAAGCACCGGCUAACUCCGUG